rnacentral:rRNA from 1 species
UAAGCGUACCGGAAGGUGCGCUUGGAAAAAUGGACUCAGCUGAUAUCAGUAUAGCCUAUUAAUUUAGACCAUUUUAAUGUCUUCCUCCUAGCCUGAACCUCUAUGCAACUAACCAUAUUCCCUACACCUAAUAAAACAUUCUUCAAUCUUUAGUAUGUGCGACAGAAAAAGAAUUCAGAGCAAUACUUAUAGUACCGCAAGGGAAAGGUGAAAUAUUAAUGAAAUAAUGUAAAACAAAAAAUAGCAGAGAUUAAACCUCGUACCUUUUGCAUCAUGGUCUAACAAGAUAAGUCGGGCAAGAUGAAUCCUAGUCCGCGCCCCCGAAACUAAGUGAGCUACUCCGAGGCAACUUUUGAGUUAACCCGUCUCUGUGGCAAAAGAGUGGGACGACCUCCGAGUAGCGGUGAUAUGCCUAUCGAACUUAGUGAUAGCUGGUUGCUCAGGAAAAGAAUUUUAGUUCCCUCUUAAGAACUUCUUAGCAAUAAUUAAGCAAAUAAAAUUCUUAAGACUUAUUCAAUAAGGGUACAGCCUUAUUGAAAAAGGAAACAGCCUCAACUUUAGGUUAAUGAUUAAAAAUUUUUAACUACGGAUCAAGUUGGCUUAAAAGCAGCCAUCUUUCGAAAAGCGUCCAAGCUUACCCCUCCCCACAUCACAAUCCAAUUAUUUAUUCAAAAUCCAUUAUUACUACUGAGCCGUUCUAUAAUUAUAUAGAAGUGAUUAUGUUAGAACUAGUAACACAGAAGUUUUUCUCUUACAUGCAAACAUAAGUCAAGUCGAAUACAUCAUUGACAGUUAUUCAGCCUGAGCCAAAUGUAACAACUACCCUAGAAAACCUUACUAUAAAUUCUGUUAACCUAACACAAGUGCAUGAAAGAAAGAUUAUAAGGUCAGGAAGGAACUCGGCAAACACUAGUUCCGCCUGUUUACCAAAAACAUCGCCUUUUGAUAACUAUAAAAGGUAACGCCUGCCCAGUGACUAUAUGUUCAACGGCCGCGGUAUUCUGACCGUGCAAAGGUAGCGUAAUCACUUGUCUUUUAAAUGAAGACUAGUAUGAAUGGCAUCACGAGAACUAAUCUGUCUCCCUCCCCUAAUCAGUGAAACUGAUCUCCCCGUGCAGAAGCGGGGAUAUUAUCAUAAGACGAGAAGACCCUGUGGAGCUUCAAAUCAAAAAUCAACUGCUUCAACCACCCAAAGGAAACAUUUACGUAGACCUGAUUUAGAUUUUCAGCUGGGGCGUCUGUGGAGAAAAAAAAAUCCUCCACGAAAAUUUAUGCUAAGAGCUACCGCCAUUGGCAUUAAUAAACUUAACUUUAAUUGACCCAAUUUUUGAUCAACGGACCAAGUUACCCCAGGGAUAACAGCGCAAUCCACUUUCAGAGUCCCUAUCGACAAGUGGGCUUACGACCUCGAUGUUGGAUCAGGACAUCCAAGUGGUGCAGCCGCUACUAAAGGUUCGUUUGUUCAACGAUUAAAGUCCU